ACUAAUUAGAUAAGAACUACUUUAGGUGAAGAGAAGGGCAACACUCAAUAUAGGGGAGAUCAGCACAACUGGACUAAACCAAAAGCAAAGAAGUUUCCUGAAUAAACUGAAUGCUUCGAAGGUCAGCAUUCAAAUUCUCAUAAAAAGACCAGGCUUAAUGGUCUGACUGAGACUAGAAGGACCCCGGCGGUCAUGGUCCCUAAACCUUCUGUAGGCCCAGGACAGGAACCAUUCCCAAAGCCAACUCUUCAGACAUGGAUUGGACUGGACAAUGGGUUGGAGACAGAUGCUGUUGAGGAGUGACCUACUUGCAUUGGGUGCACACUUGAGACUAUGUUGGCAUCUCUUGUCUAGAGGGGAGAUGGGAGGGUAGAAGGGCUUAGAAGCUGGCAAAAUGGUCAUGAAAAGAGAGACUGGGAGCGGGCUGUCUCAUUAGGGGGAGAGUAAUUGGGAGUAUGUAGUAAGGUGUAUAUAAGUUUACAUGUGAGAGACUGACUUGAUUUGUAAACUUUCACUUAAAGCACAAUAAAAAUUAUUAAAAAAAAAAAAAAAGAAGAAGAUGAAGAUUUCCAAGAAACCAUCCUAACCGACUUCACUUACAUGCCACUGGUCAGAAGUGUCAUGUAGCCACUCCUAGCUACAAGGUGGAGGGGAAAAUAUUUAAUUUAUUUGGCUUCUAAACGAAAAGUAGCAACAGAAGAGGGGUUGGAAAUGCCUAUAGGAUUAGUCAAUGGGGAAUAUCUGCCACAGGGACCUGGGACAAUUUAUGUAGAUUUUGGACCUCAGUUUCCUCAGCUAUAUAAUGAGGUGGGUUAACUAGAAUCUAGGUGAUCUCUAGAGUUCUUUUUCAUUCUAAAGUAAGGCUUCUCAAACUUUAGUGGGUGUGCAGAUCACUUGGGGGUCUUGUUAAAAUGCAGAUUUGUUGUGGGGUUAUGACACCUGAGAUUGUGCAUUUUUACAAGCUUCCAGGUGAUGCUACAGCUGCUGGACCACACUUUGAUUUAAAAAGUUUUCCUCAUCUAUAAAAUGGUGGUAAUAACACCAUUAUGUGGAAGGUGAAUGCACGUGAAAGUACCUAUCACAGUAGGUGUUCAAAAAUAUGAAUGGGAAUUGAUUUUGAAUUUCCACCCUCCUCUUAAUUCGUCUUCCUUCUUUUCAUGUUAAGUCACCAUUAAAUGAUAAGAGUGUUAGAUGGCAGUCUUCUUUUCUUCUUUCCUUCCUUUCUUCCUUUAAGCUUUUUAUUGUCAAAGUUUUCAAAACAUACAUAAGAGUAAAGAGAUGUACCUUCAUCACCAUCUAGAUUUAACAGUGUUCAACAGCUUGAAAUAUUUGGUUUAUCUAUUUUAUUUUAAAGCAAUCCCAAAUAUUAUAAAUGUUACCUCAAACAUUUCACUAUGCACUUCUAAAAAAAAAAAAAUUUUUUUAAACACAAUGCCAUUAUGACAACAAAUAAAACUAACAAUCACUCCUUAAUAAAAACACCCAGACCGUAUUCACAUAUCUCCAAUUGUUGGCAUAGCCUUUUUACAGUUGGUUUGUUCAAUCAAGAUCCAAACAUGGUGAGGAGGGUAAGAGAGAAAAACUGUUUUCAGUUCUUGGAGCAGAGCUCAGAAAUUUCUUUGCCUUUUUGCACAAUGACUCAGCUUUGCCAAUCAAGUGCACCCUAAUGUUUGUGGUUUUGAUGUCUGAAAACAAUUCCAAGUCCAUGACAAUGUCUACUGAGGAACAAGUAUGGAUAUUAGGCACUUUAGAGGCUGUGUCUGGGAGGGAGUUGUUCAGCUGGAGAGAGUCUAGCUGAGAGCUGGUUCUUGGCUUCUCAAUGGUGCUUCGUUGUUCUGUCUUCUCGUUCUUCCCUGAUUUUGGGUUUGACAGAUUGGUAUAAUUAGAAAAAAAAAAAAAAAAAGAGUCCUCCAUAUCAAACAAAAACGAAACCCAUUGCUUUUGAUUCUGACUCAUAGCGACCCUGUAGACAGAGUAGAACUGCCCCAUAGGGUUUCCAAGGAGCGCCUGGUGGACUCCAACUGCCCACCUUUUGGUUAGCAGCUAUAGCUAUUAACCAAUACUCCACAUAGGAUUAUUAAUUUUUUAUUUUUCCAAGUAAGGACAUUAAAAAAUACUUUCUAUCACUACUAUUUUAUAAAAGAAAGGACAUUUUAAUACUAAAAGGGUAGGACAUAAUUUCAGAAUAACUGGGCAUCCUUCCCAGGACUGAUAGCUGGCUGCCUUACAUUGACGUAUAUAUGUUCCAUGGUUCCAGUUUUCUCAUUUUUUCAUGGACUGCUGAGCACUUUGGGAAACAGUCCUCUAUCCAAAAUUGCUUGGAUAGUAAAACUUGUGAAGUGAUAAAAACAUCAUCAUUCUUUUUUGAAAAAUAGUCGAGUAGGACAUGAAACUUUAGUAAAAGUUAAAAAUGAAGUGAACUUGUGAUGUGGAGAUUGGCAUAGGAGAGAGAUGCCAUUUUUUUGAACUGUGAUUUGGGGGAAUGUCAGGAGCAGUAUAAACCUUUCCCGUAUUCUCAUAUGGACCUAAGGAUCAAGGGAUAUCAGGAAUUAAUUAUUCUCUUAAACUCAUUAGACUUCUGACCAAAUGCUGUCUUGGCUCCUGAGAAUUUUUAUUAAUCUUGCUCACAUUUUCUUAGCUUGCUUUCCUAUCCUUGUCCUGCCCUCUUGCCAUUCAUCAUGUGAGACCACAGCCCUUUUACACACCCCUGGAGCCUAUAGGCUACCACCAGUGCUAAGCUCAGUGACCCCCACAUUUGUAUCUUCAGCCUGUACUGUUGUACUGAGCUUCAGACUAAUAUAUCCAGUUGCCCACUUGUGUAUCUCAAUAGGGAAGUCUUACUCUGCUUCCUCAACCUGGCUGCUCCUCUUCUCUUUCCUGUUGCACAAAAUGGAAAAGUUGCUUAUGUGAGAAACCUGGGAGUCCUCCUGGACACAUCCGUCAUUCCCCGUAUUCACCCUACUACCUAUUCCUGCAAGGUUUACUUCCAAAUAUAUUUCUAAUCUAUCUACCUCAUACCAUUGCUACUGCUACUGCUACUAGACAUACUAUGACUCUAGGUCACCAUUAUCUCUUGCCUGGGUUAUUGCAACAACUUGUUUUAAUCCUUCAUUUCUACUCUGACCCCCACCAAUCUAUUCUUCACACAGCACACAGGAUGACUUUCUUAAACUAGAAAUUGUGUAAAAAAUCUGAGUGCUUCUAAUUGCAUUUGGGAUAAAAUACAUUAAAAAAAAUUUAUAACAUGGGCUCCAAGGCUCAUGUGGUCUGCCCACUGCCCAAUCUCUAAUCCCGAACUACUUUCCUGUUCAUAUACUACACUUGAUUGGCACACACUAGAAUUUGAUUUCCUUGAGCACUCAAAGCUCUUUCCUGCUUCAGGGUAGGGAACACAGAGUGUUUUUUCUACUUAAAAAUUCUUCUCCCACCAUCCCCGCUCUCUGCUUGUUCCUCCUCUAGACUGUAAUCACCCUGGGCACAGACCCUUGGCUAUUCUGUUUGUCACUGAACAGCUCACAUCCAGCACAGUCCUAGGCAGAGAGUAAGUUCUCAGUUAACCUUUGUUGAAUGAGUGAAUGACUUUGCCAAUUAAUGACAAGCUUCUUCCAUUUCUAAGGAAUGACAGAAAGGAGAGACUGAAUAUAUUAAAAUAAAAUAAAGUAGAAGGCCAUAUUUUUGCUAGAUCAGCCAAACUGAUAUUGGUCCUUGGGUGUUCAGGCCAGUGUUUACCUUUAUGAUUAUUAUAACUGAUCUUUCUGUGAGAUAAAGUAAAUCAUAUUUUAAAUAGGUGCUAAGAUCAGCUCCAUUUUAUCUGUAUUACUAAAAUUGCUGAGGUUCUUAUAAAAUUUCUGUAAAAUGUGAACCUUCUGUUUUAAUAAAGUGUUACAUCUGUCCAUUCUGAGGUACAGAGACCUAUAAUUUGUCCAUUUAAAAAAAAACUAAGUGCCUUAUUCGUGCGUCCAAUGGAAAAGGCUAAAAUCACACACACUUCAAAUGGCCCCAUAACUUAAGCAUGCACUUUUUAGAGUCAGCAUAUUGUAGAGACAUUUGCUAUAAUAGUUUUCAAAACAUUAUAUAAUUUCCAGUUUUCUUUUGCUUAACAGAAAUGAAAAGUUUUCUGAGAGCUGUAAGCCCAUGUUAAACUCCCUCUUAGUGCAUUGUCUUAGUGGCUCACGUUUAGCCCCAUAUCCUACUGUCUAGUUAUCUCUACUUGCCAAUUUUGCUUUUUAUUACAUGUUAAUUCCACUACUUAUUUUGUGGAUAUGAUUUAUCUCCUCAACUAAACUAUAAGCUUCUUGUAAACAGGGGUCCAUGUCUUUUUCUGCCUUUGCAUCCUCAGUGUAACAAUCAGUGUUAGUUGCUGUCAACUUCCACUCAUGGCCACCUUCUGUAUAACAGAAAAAAUGUUGCCUGGUCCUGUGCCAUCUUCAUGAUUGUUGAUAUGCUUGAGCCCAUCGUUAUGGCCAUUAUGUUAAUCCAUCUCAUGGAAAGUUUCUCUUGUUUUUGUAGGCCCUCUACUCUAUGAUACAUGAUGCCCUAUUCUAGUGAUUGGACUUCCUGGCGACUUGUCCAAAGUGCCCUCCCACGAAGGGUAGGAGAGAAUUCAACUUUAUGAUGUGGCAAAACCAAGCAGACACAGUAGAUGUGUUGUUAGUACCCUUAGGAAAAGCCCUCAAAGCUGUGUCCAGUGACUUAGGAGUUAAAAUUGGAGUCAUUUUUCCCUGACCUUGAGUAUAAAGAAUGUGACCCAGCUGUGGCAAGAAGGACUCACAAGAACAUAUCAGCUGGACCCUGAGGAAACUUUAAUAAUUAUCUCCAUGAAGGUCUUGCCAGCAUUCUUCUAGUGCACAAUUCACUUCCUGAUCAGUCAUGGCUUGACUCUUGUGAGUGUUCUGACACUUGACAUGAACAUUUGUCUAAAGGGACUGCUUCCUGGACUCCCUUAAGGAUGAUUCUUAAUUGUAUGACACCACAGUCUGCGGUUGUGACCUGUGGCAGGCACUGUGCUUGUGUUCAGGAUUUUUACAUCCCUGUGAAGUAAGUAUUAUUUAUUAUUCUCAUUCAGUAGAGGAAUAAAAUGAGGCUCAGAAGAGUUAAGUCAUUAACCCAAAGUGAUGUAGUUGGUAAGUGGCUAUGCCAGAAUUUGAACCAAGGUCUGUCCUACCCUAAAGCCUAUUCUCCUAACUAGUAUGCCAGGAGCUCUUUAUGGAGUCCAUGCCCUCAUCAGCCCAAAUUUCUAUGUGAAGUUUUUGUGUAUAUGCAUUUUUCUGGGAAGAUGGAUCAUGGUCUAUCUCAGGUUUUCAAAGGGCUGUGGUCCCACAAAGCUAAGACUCCACUUAACAGUUAGAGUUGGUGGAGCAGUUGGAAUGCUUUUGGGUGAAAACAAAAGAAAACCCAACUCAAACUGGCUGUACGUCUGUCGUUAUGCACUGUUCAAUCAGGGUAGGGCUCUUGCUCAAUUUCUCUGUAACUCUCUUGGCUUUGCCCUCCUCCUUUGACAUCAGGCUUCCCUUAUUGGUUGCAAAAUGCCUGCAACAGUUCCAGGUCUAAUAUCUACUCACCGCAUGUCUGAAAGGAGAGCCUUUCUCUCCUCUCCACCAUCCAUCAAAACUUGUGGGCUCCACUCUGAUUGGACCAACCAAGGUCAUGUGCCAUUAUCCUAACCAAUCCCUGGGGCUAGGGGAUGCCAUGCACUGAUUGGCUGAGCUCCCUGUCUAUUCUUGAAUCAAUGACAGCUUUAAAGAGGAUAUGAUUACACUGAGUGCCUUAGGCCAUUCAGAAUCCAUUACCAGAGCUGGGGGAAGGAUUGUUUUUAUCCAAGCAACAUGGCCCUUUCAUAAAGAUUAGGGGAGAGGUGAAAUGAAUGAUGUGGAGGUGCCCAACAAUAUUCAAUAUAGUAGUCUUCCCUUGGCAUCUUAAAGAAAACUGUAGAACAAACUCCGUAUCUUAAUGGGACAAGAUAAAAGCGAAUUCAGCUUCUAGUAGGAAGCUUUCUGGCAUGUUAGUGUUCUCUUUGAUUUGGAGAGUUUAAUACGCUGCAGACACCUUUCCUCUAUCCCUAGUCAGAGUCUAUUUAGUGAGGCAGGAUGUGCCUACCAACUAAGAGAUAUUUCCUUCAGAUGCAAUUCUAAUUAGAAUUGCUGCUUCUGAGAAACACUUCUGUACCAUGACUUAUGAACUCCUUUGGAAUAUUUUCCA